rnacentral:tRNA from 1 species
CAAGACAUAAUUUAGUUAGAAUGUUGGCUUUGGGGGCCAUUUGUAAAGGUUUAAGUCCUUUUGUCUUGA